AUUGAACGCUGGCGGCAUGCCUUACACAUGCAAGUCGAACGGUAACGCGGGGCAACCUGGCGACGAGUGGCGAACGGGUGAGUAAUGUAUCGGAACGUGCCCAGUUGUGGGGGAUAACUGCUCGAAAGAGCAGCUAAUACCGCAUACGACCUGAGGGUGAAAGCGGGGGAUCGCAAGACCUCGCGCAAUUGGAGCGGCCGAUAUCAGAUUAGGUAGUUGGUGGGGUAAAGGCCAACCAAGCCAACGAUCUGUAGCUGGUCUGAGAGGACGACCAGCCACACUGGGACUGAGACACGGCCCAGACUCCUACGGGAGGCAGCAGUGGGGGAUUUUGGACAAUGGACGCAAGUCUGAUCCAGCCAUGCCGCGUGCGGGAAGAAGGCCUUCGGGUUGUAAACCGCUUUUGUCAGGGAAGAAAAGGGCGACUCUAAUACAGUUGCCUCAUGACGGUACCUGAAGAAUAAGCACCGGCUAACUACGUGCCAGCCGCCGCUGUAAGAC
rnacentral:rRNA from 1 species